GACGAACGCUGGCGGCGUGCUUAACACAUGCAAGUCGAACGGAAAGGCCCUGCUUUUGUGGGUUUCUCGAGUGGCGAACGGGUGAGUAACACGUGAGUAACCUGCCCUUGACUUUGGGAUAACUUCAGGAAACUGGGGCUAAUACCGGAUAGGAGCUCCUGCUGCAUGGUGGGGGUUGGAAAGUUUCGGCGGUUGGGGAUGGACUCGCGGCUUAUCAGCUUGUUGGUGGGGUAGUGGCUUACCAAGGCUUUGACGGGUAGCCGGCCUGAGAGGGUGACCGGCCACAUUGGGACUGAGAUACGGCCCAGACUCCUACGGGAGGCAGCAGUGGGGAAUAUUGCACAAUGGGCGGAAGCCUGAUGCAGCAACGCCGCGUGCGGGAUGACGGCCUUCGGGUUGUAAACCGAUUUCGCCUGUGACGAAGCGUGAGUGACGGUAAUGGGUAAAGAAGCACCGGCUAACUACGUG
rnacentral:rRNA from 1 species